rnacentral:rRNA from 1 species
GAUGAACGCUGGCGGCGUGCCUAAUACAUGCAAGUCGAGCGAACGGACGAGAAGCUUGCUUUUCUGAUGUUAGCGGCGGACGGGUGAGUAACACGUGGAUAACCUACCUAUAAGACUGGGAUAACUUCGGGAAACCGGAGCUAAUACCGGAUAAUAUUUUCAACCGCAUGGUUCAAAAGUGAAAGACGGUCUUGCUUUCACUUAUAGAUGGAUCCGCGCUGCAUUAGCUAGUUGGUAAGGUAACGGCUUACCAAGGCAACGAUGCAUAGCCGACCUGAGAGGGUGAUCGGCCACACUGGAACUGAGACACGGUCCAGACUCCUACGGGAGGCAGCAGUAGGGAAUCUUCCGCAAUGGGCGAAAGCCUGACGGAGCAACGCCGCGUGAGUGAUGAAGGUCUUCGGAUCGUAAAACUCUGUUAUUAGGGAAGAACAGAUGUGUAAGUAACUGUGCACAUCUUGACGGUACCUAAUCAGAAAGCCACGGCUAACUACGUG